CGGGGUAUAGCGCAGUCCGGUUAGCGUACCUGCUUUGGGAGCAGGGGGUCGUAGGUUCGAAUCCUACUACCCCGACUA
rnacentral:tRNA from 2 species